rnacentral:rRNA from 1 species
GGAGUCUGGACCGUGUCUCAGUUCCAAUGUGGGGGACCUUCCUCUCAGAACCCCUACCCAUCGUCGGUUUGGUGGGCCGUUACCCCGCCAACUGCCUAAUGGGACGCGAGCCAAUCCGAUACCGAUAAAUCUAUUAAACAAAGAUCAUGCGGUCUCUGUUGUUACGGAGUAUUACGCGACGUUUCCAUCGACUAUCCUCCAGUAUCGGGCAUGUUGCUCACGCGUUACUCACCCUUUCGCCGGUCGCCAUCAUAAAUAGCAAGCUAUCUAUAUGCUGCCCCUCGACUUGCAUGUGUUAAGCCUGUAGCUAGCGUUCAUC